CGGGGAGCCACCCUUCAGCCUCCUUGGAGAAAUACUCUUCCCCCCCCUGCCCCCCGCAUCCCGGCUUCUCUUUGUGGAGUCCUUCUGCAUAGCCUCUGGCCUAUAUAUUCUUACAGGAAAAAAAAAAAAAAAAAAAAAGCUUCUAUUCUUAGAAGGAAUGUGUCUGAGGUGGUUCGCACUGCCUCCCAUCGUCAGGUUGUACUGGUGGAGGUGUGCGGGUGUGUGAAAUUGAAUGGUCUUUCAAGCCGUGGGGCUUAUUAAGUUAUUGAUACAGGAUGGUUGUCGACUUAGGCAGGGUGUGAAGAUAAUCCUAUUAGAAAGUGAUUACUCUUCUACCAAAACGCAUUAAAAGCGUUAGGGUGCAGGGCCGGUAGGAAUUCUGCGGAAUUUCUGUGAUCGGUCCAGUAUUAUGCCGGCACAGCCAUAAAAAUGGAUUCUGCAGUGCGACUUAGACCAUCGGUUGCGGCGCUGACCUCGUCCGUAUUGAGCCAUCAGUGUAGAGAUCACACGUUACACGUGGAGGGGGGGUUCAGUGCCCUUUCUUAACGAGUACGGUUUUGAAGUGUGCUGUAACCUUUUGUACAAACGGCCCAUGUAAACCUCUGUUCAUACUUGGAACCCUGAGUGUGGGCUUGAAGUCAGAUAAUUAGGGUAAAUUAUACUAGUUGGGUUCGUUUUUAUUAAAACAUUUCUGGCAGCAAUGAAACUCACUUAUUGGGCACGAUUUGGGAGUUAGAAAUGGAAAGCUUUGCAAACUCUGGGAAUGGAGGCGGGGUAGCACCUUCCGCAGGAAGCCCACUGCCGUGGCCUCCCCACCUAUCCCACCGCCCCCACCCUGCCCCCGGGCCAAGCACCCCUGAGCCCCCAGGGCAUCCUGUGUGCCCACAGCAGCAUCUCGAGCCCUGUUCCCGCUCUCCCAUUAGACCACAGGAUCCUGAGAUCAGAAACCCAGGAUGACCACAGCCCCUAGCAGUCCGUAGGCUCAGGGGAGACCCAGGCACGUCUCGACAUGUGAGAAGGCAAGAAAAGUCGAGAACUCACACAGCUGGGGUUGAAAUGACCUGAGCAAAUGCUCCUGGAGCUCCUCCCAACAGCCAGGACGUGGGACACACAGACAAAAAGGAUGUCACCGGAGCUGAUGUGGGCACUUCCCAAAAUCCUUGAGCUCAGACUCUGGGGCAGGAAGCCGAGGGCCCUAAGGCUGGACUUCAGGUGUGGGCUUCACCAUUGACCUCCGGAGACAUCGCUCUGCCUCUUGGGCGUUGCACUCCUUGUUUAAGCAUUAGGCGCUUCUGAAUUCAUUAUUGAAGACACAGUGUUAGGAGUCACGAGUUUAUUUUUAAAACUUUAUUUAAAGCCCUUCAGUGGCAGGUGAGUGUUAAGGUGCCUCAUGAUUCGGGCCCCUGAAGUAGGAACGUGCCUAUCCAUUUUUCAGGCGAGUUUCAUUGCAGAAUCAGGGAUACUUACGUAUUUCUUUGAUUUUACACUUUGAGGCCAGUGCUGCUGGAGGAGACCACGGGCCCAAAUGGUUCAGACCUGCAGAUAGAGACCUUUGUAAAUUCCUCAUGGCUUUAGAUUGUAAUAGAUGCCAAGGAGGCCAGCGGUGAUAGUGCUUCUGUUGCACUUUCGCCAAAGCUGAUGUUAUUACGUCACCUCUACAGAAAGGCUCUCAGGACCUUCCGGAGAUGGAGAAGAGCAAAAUGUAUUGAGAGUGUGUCUCUGGGCUGUUAGAAAUAGAUUUUUAAUGAAGAUUUUCCAUCUUCCUGGAGUUCAGUGCCUCUCAGGUAAAUUUUGAAAAAUGGUACUGUUCCCCUGCCAUUGGCAUGGGGACCAUGUGAUUCUAAGAGAACCCAGGGCGGGAGGGUGGAAAGGGUGGCAUUCUCAGUGAGAACUGCCUCCGACAAUAUGGAGAUAAUUCCAAGCAAGCACUCGCAGGACUCAGACAACGGUGUUUUGGAGAAGAAAUAAAAUAGUUCUCUGUUAUGUAAACACACCGGCUGAGGGUUAGCGCUUGAUAAGAUCUUAAUCUGCUAUAAUAACAUUUUCACAUCUGAUAAAUUGCAUCGUAUAAUCAAAGCAACAAUAGUUUAUAGAAACGUUAAAGUUUUCUGUGUUUCUGGUCCAGUCGGUCAUGCCCUUUGCCCUGUACGGUGACUCGGGUUGUUACUUCUUGGCUUGGCAGACGUUUGUUAAAUGCCUGCCUAUGUGCCAGUGACUGUUCUAGGUGCUAGGUGGACCCUAUAGCUGCAGAUUGUAGCCCCAUUCAUAGAAAAGAGACUUUUUUACUUGCCUCUUAUUUUGUGCGUUCUCCUCUUCCUACCAUCUCACCUACCCUACCGCUUAGGGUUUUCCACGAUCCAGCUCUGUUGCACCUACCAAGAACCUGCAUCUCUGUGACAGGUUGUUUUAGUUGCUAGUCUUCCAGCCUCCUGUCCCUAAUAAUGUGAGUUCUAGCUGCUACAGCAAAAGACCACAGAGUCGGUGCUUAAACACCAGGCAGUUCUGGAAACUGGCAAGUCCAAGAUCAAGGCGCUGGCAGAUUGGGUUCUUGAAGAGGGUUCUCUUCCUGGUUGGCACACAACUGCCUUCUUGCUGGAGCCUUCCAUGGCAAAGAGAAGUUCUGAUGUCUUUUCCCCUUCUUAAAAGGGCACGAACCCGGUCACAUCAUCACAGGGCGGGGGUGCUCUCCCCUAAUCUAAUUAGUUCCCUAAAGCUCCACCUCCAAAUAGGAUCCCCUCGGGGGCGUUAGGGCUUCAACAUAUGAAUGUAGGUGGGGGGAGGGGGGUCCAGGUGUUCAGUGAACAGAAGUCACAGUACCACACAGAGUGGCAAAAACACCGCAGUCUCUACUCCUUGGGAAGGGGUCAUCUGACACCAAGACCCAUUAGCUGAGAAUAGUGGUUCCCUAUUAGCACGUGUUCUUCGUAAUUGCCCUUUCAGACUUGCAGCUGGAACGCUGGGAGAGCCAUCCCAGACGAAGCACCCAAACCCUCUUACUUGGUGAGGCUGAGAAAAUGACAGGCACAUGACAGGUGUAGGUGGUCCUGAGAUUGUAAGGCUUCACGUUAGAAAUAGGACUCGUGUUUCUCAAUUUUCUCAACGUGUUGUUGCAGUUAUCUUCAGUCGAAUUCACAUGAACUUUUCUCAUCCAGUUUUCACAUGUCUUGAGAACGUUAGCUUGUGGAAAGAGAUUUCUCUGGGCCCUUUUCACGAUGUUUUGCCCCGCGGGAUCUCUGUAACCCUUCCAUCAGGACAUAACAGUAAUCCCUUUGGAAUUGAAUGCAUCCUGGCGAUUUUGCAGUAUGUCAGCGGAUACUUUUUGGAUAUUCACAGCCCUGUUACCAUAUCGAAAAGGAAUUCGGUCAGGGUUAUUUGGAUUUUCAUCUGUUUGCUGUAUACCUAGCUCUACCUUUCUGAGAUUAGUUCUGUUACCCUCUGCCUGGUUUUCACUAAAAUUGUAUCAUGAGCCACUCACUGAGGACACAGGUACAUGGUUAGCAAGAGGGAGGCUCAGGACAGACUAGAACAUGGGUGAUGAACUGUCGUCAUUAGAAAUAUGAUCAGAGUCUCAUUAGCAAAAUGAAAUGAAAAGGAAAGCGAAGGGCUUGGGACCAGGUGGAUAUUUCAGGAAAUUACCAAGGUUGGUGUCCUGUUGGAAAGGAAACAAAGCAAAAUUUUACAUGUGUGACCUUUCCUCUCCUAUUUCUAUUAUUAUUCUACCGUAGACACAGUCUUUAAUUCAGAGCCUGAUACCACUGCUGUAGGUUGAAUGACUUUUUUUUAACUGGGCGCUCAGAGGUCCAGGUUCUUUGGAAGCAAGGGUCAUAGCCAAGGUGGGAUUGAGGACAGAGUCGGCAGGCAUCGUCCUGGCCCUUCCAGCGUUCGCGUGAUCUGACAGUCCCUCUGGACCUGAGAGAGUCACGUCCAUGCUUCCCCUGACAACACACUUCACCCUAGUUUUCUUCUUAUCUGAGAAACGGUGACUGGCUGUCCACCCCCACCACCCCCCCGCCCCAGCCAGUAUCAUUCUUUUUCAUUUGUUUGGCUUUGUUUCACUGAGAUAGAAUUCACACACCGUCAUAGUCAUCCCUCUAAAGUGUGCAGUGCAGCGCUUUUUAGGAUAUUCACAAAGUUGAGUGACCAUUCUGAGUGUCUUCGUUUCAGACUUUGCAUCACCGCCAAAAGAAAACCCCAUACCUGACCUGUGGGCUCCCCUCCCAGGCUGGGAGCCCUAGGCAGCCACUCCACUACUUUGUGUUUAUGGAUUUAAUUGCCUGAUUCACACCUCUGGCAUAAAUGCAGUCCUGGAGUUCCCGUCGUGGCGCAGUGGUUAACGAAUCAGGAACCAUGAGGUUGCGGGUUUGGUCCCUGCCCUUGCUCAGUGGGUUAAAGAUCUAGUGUUGCUGUGAGCUGUGGUGUAGGUCACAGACGCGGCUCGGAUCCCACGUUGCUGUGGCUCUGGCGUAGGCCGGUGGCUACAGCUUCAAUUCGACCCCUAGCCUGGGAACCGCCAUAUGCCGCGGGAGCGGCC
rnacentral:lncRNA from 1 species